UACAGAGGGUGCGAGCGUUAAUCGGAAUUAUUGGGCGUAAAGCGUGCGUAGACGGUUAUCUAAGUCGGAUGUGAAAGCCCCGGGCUCAACCUGGGAAUUGCAUUCGAGACUGAAUAGCUAGGGUGCGGUAGAGGGAAGCGGAAUUUCCGGUGUAGCGGUGAAAUGCGUAGAUAUCGGAAGGAACAUCAGUGGCGAAAGCGGCUUCCUGGACCAGCACCGACGUUCAGGCACGAAAGCGUGGGGAGCAAACAGG
rnacentral:rRNA from 1 species